UCUUCCUCUUUUUUCUCUUCUUCCGCAACUUUCUCCCUGUUUUUUUCCUCUGUUUCCACAACCUCUUCCUUUUUUUUCUCUUCUUCCACAACUUUCUCACCUUUUCCAAUUUCUUCCUCCAUAGGCUUUGUCACUAGUCUCCUCGCAGCCAUUUCCUUAGUCCUACCACGUGGUGGUGUGGGAGUUCCCUCCGUCUGAUUCCCACGUGGUGGUGUUGGAGUUUCAUCGGUUCUGUUCGUCUCAACCCGAAGCUCAUUGUGAUCAUCUUUGGGAGUUCCCUCUGUCUGAUUCCCACGUGGUGGUGUCAGAGUUCCUUUUUCUAUCUCUGCCUCCCGAGCCUAAGAUUCCACCUUAUCAGUCUCACUUUUCUCCUUUUCUUACUCCCUGGUUUCAGACUCAUUCCCUUCAACUUCUUCUUCUUGAUCAUCUUUCCCUUCAACCUCUGCUUGAUUAUCAGUGUCACUCUCACUCUCACUCUCACUGUCUUCCUUGUCUUGCUCAUCAGCCUCGAUAUUUUCCUUCUCUUUCUCACCCUCUUACUGAGCAUUGUCAUCAGCCUCUUUCUCUUCACCUUCUUCUUCAUCACUGUUUUCAUUUUCUCUCAGCCUCUUGCUCAGUAUUCUCGAUGUUAUCCUUAUCUUUCUCAGCCUCUUGCUCAGCAUUAGCUUUGUCAUUCUCUUCAUAUGUACCGUAGUCCCACUAUCGAAAAUCUAUGUCUUCAUCAUGACUCGGCUCCUUCUUACUCUCA
rnacentral:lncRNA from 1 species